rnacentral:rRNA from 1 species
AGCGCCCCUCCUGGGGAGUACGAUCGCAAGAUUAAAACUCAAAGGAAUUGACGGGGCCCCGCACAAGCAGCGGAGCAUGCGGCUUAAUUCGACGCAACGCGAAGAACCUUACCAAGGCUUGACAUAUACAGGAAUAUGGCAGAGAUGUCAUAGCGGUAAAACGUCUGUAUACAGGUGGUGCAUGGUUGUCGUCAGCUCGUGUCGUGAGAUGUUGGGUUAAGUCCCGCAACGAGCGCAACCCUCGUUCUGUGUUGCCAGCAUUUAGUUGGGGACUCACAGGAGACUGCCGGGGUUAACUCGGAGGAAGGUGGGGAUGACGUCAAAUCAUCAUGCCCCUUAUGUCUUGGGCUGCACGCAUGCUACAAUGGCUGGUACAAAGGGCUGCAAUACUGCAAAGUGGAGCGAAUCCCAAAAAGCCAGUCUCAGUUCGGAUUGGGGUCUGCAACUCGACCCCAUGAAGUCGGAGUUGCUAGUAAUCGUAGAUCAGCAACGCUACGGUGAAUACGUUCCCGGGGCUUGUACACACCGCCCGUCACAUCACGAAAGUCGGUAACACCCAAAGUUCAGUGGCCCAACCGCAAGGA